rnacentral:rRNA from 1 species
GAGUUCCGAUACGAUCACCGAAGUUAAGCCACAUCCACCCAGGUCAGUAGUUAGAUGGGUGACCGCUUGGGAAUACCAGGUGCGGUAAG